rnacentral:rRNA from 1 species
CUACGGGGGGCAGCAGUGGGGAAUAUUGCACAAUGGAGGAAGCUCUGAUGCAGCAACGCCGCGUGGAGGAUGACACUUUUCGGAGCGUAAACUCCUUUUAUAUAGGAAGAAGAUGACGGUACUAUAUGAAUAAGCGCCGGCUAACUCCGUGCCAGCAGCCGCGGUAAUACGGAGGGCGCAAGCGUUACUCGGAAUCACUGGGCGUAAAGAGCGUGUAGGCGGAUUAAAAAGUCAGAAGUGAAAUCCUAUAGCUUAACUAUAGAACUGCUUCUGAAACUCUUAAUCUAGAAUAUGGGAGAGGUAGAUGGAAUUUCUGGUGUAGGGGUAAAAUCCGUAGAGAUCAGAAGGAAUACCGAUUGCGAAGGCGAUCUACUAGAACAUUAUUGACGCUGAGACGCGAAAGCGUGGGGAGCAAACAGGAUUAGAUACCCCCGUAGUC